rnacentral:misc_RNA from 1 species
GGGAAGCUCCUUUUGCACAGAGAUAGAGAGAAAAGAGACAAGGGGGAGAGUGGGUAGUCAUAUUUGUAGGUAUAGGGUUACUUUCAUUGUCUUGGUUAAUUCUCUUUGCCUAUAUCUCUCCUAGAAGUUUGAGAGACCCUCUCUUUGUGUUCUUUCUUGUGAUUACCUACAGAUCGAUCACCCUAUAUAGCAUAGUUUGGUUUUCUCUUAUAUAAGGAGGCGCACUCGUUUCUUUCUGUUCUUGCAGCUAGCCUUCAAGAGAGAGAGAGAGAGAG